UGGGGAAUAUUGCACAAUGGGCGCAAGCCUGAUGCAGCAAUGCCGCGUGUGUGAAGAAGGCCUGCGGGUUGUAAAGCACUUUUAUUAGGAAAGAAAAACCCGGAGCUAAUACCUCCGGCAUUGACGGUACCUAAAGAAUAAGCACCGGCUAACUCAGUGCCAGCAGCCGCGGUAAUACUGAGGGUGCAAGCGAUAUUCGGAAUCACUGGGCGUAAAGGACGCGUAGGCGGGUUGUCAAGUCUGAUGUGAAAUCCUAUGGCUCAACCAUAGAACUGCAUUGGAAACUGGCAACCUAGAGUAUGGGAGGGGGAGAUGGAAUUAGUGGUGUAGGGGUAAGAUCCGUAGAUAUCACUAGGAAUACCGAAAGCGAAGGCGAUCUCCUGGAACAUUACUGACGCUAAGGCGUGAAAGCGUGGGGAGCAAACAGGAUUAGAUACCCUGGUAGUCCACGCCGUAAACGAUGUGAACUAGGGAUAGGGGGUGUUGAUCCCUCCUGUCCCGCAGCUAACGCAUUAAGUUCGCCGCCUGGGGAGUACGGUCGCAAGAUUAAAACUCAAAGGAAUUGACGG
rnacentral:rRNA from 1 species